rnacentral:lncRNA from 1 species
ACAGGAAUCAUCACAGGACAGGAAUCAGGCUGAUGAAGUGGGUGCUAGCAACUCCUAAUUAUCUGCUAGCUGGAGCCUUAUUCACAAAGUACUAUGAAAUCAUCUAUUCAAAGGAAGUCAGAAGCUCACUUCCCGACUCCGCCAUCGUGACUGAAGUGACACCGAGCGCCGUAUUUGACAUUUCUCACAGAAAAGUCUAAAUGUGUCAGAAGCAGCCUUGUACCUGUGCACAAUGUCGCAGUUUCAUUCUUAAGAAUUCAACGUCUCAUAAUGUUGUGUUGGGUGACGAGAAAAAGGGACUUGACUUCGCCUGGGAAGUGCAGUGAGUGCUUGCCAGCCGUUUUGGGUGGCCACACUUCUUAUGCAGGGCACUUCCUUUAAGCUUCUAAUGACGAGUGACCCUAACGUGAAGAGAUUCUUAGAGACUAGGUCAGGCUUUUAGAGUCCACGGAGUUCCGAGGACAACCGUCUAUCACGCCUAGAAACCAGGCAAUCAAUUCCUGUAUGAACAAACCCCACAACCUCCCUGUUUAAGCUCAAAGGAAAACAACGGUGUUUUAGGUUAUUAGGACUUUAUGACAGGCCAAUCCUUUAUCGUACGUUUCUAAAAGCAGUUCUCAGGCAGGUUUAAAGAAAAGUUUGGGUUAUAUGUUUGGGUUUGGAAUGACCUAAAAAGACGACAAAGAGGUGAGAGUUGGUAUGCUAGGAGCAAAACCACAGCAGCCACUGAAUUGAGAAAAGAAAUCCAAGCUGCUGACAUCCAUCCAUUAAUCAAAUGGGGUCACUACUCCUUUGAAGUUUAAGAGAUGACUUCCUACAGGAC